AGAUUGCUGACGACCGGCGCACGGGUGAGUAACACGUAUCCAACCUCCCUUUUACUCGGGGAUAGCCUUUCGAAAGAAAGAUUAAUACCCGAUAGUAUGUUUUUCCCGCAUGGGAGAACCAUUAAAGUUUUUCGGUAAUCGAUGGGGAUGCGUUCCAUUAGGCAGUUGGUGAGGUAACGGCUCACCAAACCUUCGAUGGAUAGGGGUUCUGAGAGGAAGGUCCCCCACAUUGGAACUGAGACACGGUCCAAACUCCUACGGGAGGCAGCAGUGAGGAAUAUUGGUCAAUGGACGAGAGUCUGAACCAGCCAAGUAGCGUGAAGGAUGACUGCCCUAUGGGUUGUAAACUUCUUUUAUAUGGGAAUAAAGGAGCCUACGUGUAGGUUUUUGUAUGUACCAUACGAAUAAGGAUCGGCUAACUCCGUGCCAGCAGCCGCGGUAAUACGGAGGAUCCAAGCGUUAUCCGGAUUUAUUGGGUUUAAAGGGAGCGUAGGUGGAGGCUUAAGUCAGUUGUGAAAGUUUGCGGCUCAACCGUAAAAUUGCAAUUGAUACUGGGUUUCUUGAGUACAAUAGAGGUGGGCGGAAUUCGUGGUGUAGCGGUGAAAUGCUUAGAUAUCACAAAGAACUCCGAUUG
rnacentral:rRNA from 1 species